AGCCUAGAUCCCUCACUUGCACAGUUUGCACUCCUAUAAGAAUCUAAUGCCGCUGCUCAUCGGACAGAAGGCAGAGAUGCGAGCAGUGGGGAGUGGCUGUAAAUACAGAUGAAGCUUUGCUCGCUCACUGCUCACCUCCUGCUGUGCAGCCCUGCUCCUAACAGGUCACGGACCAGUACCUGUCCACAGCCCAGGGGUUGGGGACCUUAGAGCUACAAGAUACGUGGCCUCCAGGUUUCUCACGUGAACACUGGGGAUAUAAUAAAAGCUGCCUUCGGGGGUGUCCUCAGGAACACCCAGAGCACAAUGUACGAGGGGUCCCUGUAAGACAGGACUGGAGGAUAAUGUCCCAGAAGGUCCAAGAAACCCCUUUUGUGCGCUGUGACUUCGUUUUACAUGCCUGGUUGCUGGUCCCCGAGACAGACAAGUAUUUUGAGCGGCGUUGACACAAGGUCUUCAAAAUUAGACUUUAUUUUCUCUGGCAUGUGUUUCAUUGACAGUCUUAACUUUGCAUGAACCAGGAAGUUUGGCAAUUUAACUUCCUUGUGAUCUUGGGAGAAAGAGGUGAGGCAUGAAAGUGCCAGGUAGGAGAGGCAGAUGGAAGGAAAACACCCCGUGGAAACCCGGAGAUGGGCGCGAGCAAGGAGGAGCCCCCGAUAGCCGCUGCUCAGAGGCCCCGCCUGGGGGUGCCAGGGGCCCCAGGAGGCCUCCGGCCAGGCUCCCCCCUUGCCUGCUGUCUGGCCGGCUGCCAAUGCAGGUUUUAAUUAUUUCAUUGACGUAGUUUUUCUGCUGCUGAUUUUUAAAUGUCAAAGGCAGCCCAUUUAUAAGCCUUUGCCUUAUGUUUUGAGUAUCAGGGCAGCGACAUGUUCUUCAGCCUGGUGCUGCUUGCUAUGUGUAGUGCAGCAUUGGAGGAGAUUUAUCCCGGAGGAGGCCUUGAGUUCUAGGCCUUGUGGUGUCACGGACUGAAUCUGUCCUGGGACACGCCAGGGAGGCUUUCCUUCUGUGCCUCGGUUUCUCCAUUGGUAAGGCGGAAGGAAGGACCAGAGCUCCCGAGGCCCUUCGGGGACUUGAAAAACGUUCUGGAUUAGGCCCUGUCCUCGCUUCUUGUAAUCCUUGCUCUGGCCUCUGGGCAGUGGCUCCAGCCAGGACAAGUAGGUGUGGAUGGAGUUCUCAAGAUCUGAUAAGGGGGGCCUGACUCCAGGGAAAGGGCCUGGAAUGGACACUGUCUCCAAACACUCCUGAUGGUGACUUCCAGAAAUGGUUAAAAACUCUUGUCAUCGGUCAGCACAGAUGGGACCCCUGCCGUAAACGGAGCCAUCUGGAAGGAUGGCAUUUGGACACGAGGGGCCCAGAACACGUGCCUGCCCUGGGGACCUUCCGUCUUUCUGGAGCUGGAGCAGACAUGGGCAGGGAGGACGGCUCUGGGUUACAGGUUCUCCCGAACUGGAGCCGUCUCAAUCCAACCUUGCCGAUUAGACCUGUUUAAGUUUUUUGUUGUUGUUUUAACUGAAUUGAUCUAAAAGCAGCGGUUCUUAGUAGAGGAGGUGGGGGGUAGGGGUGGCUCCCCAGGCAGCAUUGGGCAGUGUCUGGAGACAUUCUGGGUUGUCACAGCUGGGGGGAGGGUGGUGUGGAGGGAUCCUUUUCACAUUUAGUGAGUAGAGGAGGCCAAAGGUGGGUGCUUAACAUGCUUGAUGCCCAGGGCAGCCCCCACCACAGAGAACGUUCCAGCCCCAAGUGCCGAUGGAGCCCAGGCUGAGAAACUCUGAUCUGAAGAAACAUGAUUUUAAAAUGAAAUGUAGUGAACCAGGGCCACUUAACUCGCAUAUUUAAAGCAAAUAUAUAAGUAAUGAGCACAAUGAAAUCCAAACAAUGUUUAUAAAUUCUAGGAAAAAGCUAUGAAUAGCCUGCAGAGGCUCCGAGCUCAAGCUUAUCUUUCUCCUUAUAACGAAGGGAAAUUAACACACGGAGAGACGUGGAGAGACGUGGAGAGAUGUGGAGAGACGUGGAGAGACGUCUCAGACUUGGCAGCACCAAUCUGAGCCUUUCUCCGUAGGUGGAAUCGGAUGGGAGAGGGGCUGCAUUCUCCCUCUGUGAUCCGAUGCUAUUUUGUGCUACGUCUUCUCACCCCCUAAAAGCAAACCGUCACCCCCCCCACCCCCCACUGCUGGAAUGUUCCACGGUCUCACACUUCGAGAAGCCCCGUCUUCUUCGCCACAGGCAAGAGCGUGAGCGGCUAAGAGGCACGGCCCGCUGCCCACGAGGACCUGCUCCCUGCCCCUUUCGUUCUGUGACUACCUGGAGAUAAUUAUUAGACCUAGAUGGGAAUCUUUUUUCUCUUUUUUCACAGGUACUUAUAAUAAUAAUAGCUCCCUGUAGGCCCAGGCUUUUUCAUCUUCAAAGCGCUCUAUAACCAUGAGCUCAUCUUCCUGCUGCCCAGUGAGGUCAGAAGUCCUGUGUUUGACUGCAUGGUGCCACCAAGGCAGGAGAAGCGGAGUGAGUCACCGGCAGUCCUGGCCGGGAGGCGGGCGAGGUCGGGACUCGAGUUUACGGUUGCUGGACUCCUGGACACGUCCUUCCCCGGGCCACGCCUUUCUCCUGGCCAGCCCUGUCUUGCUAUUUGUGCCAAACCUCAAAUUCAGGCGGGUCUGGAGAGAGCAAGGGUGACAUUUCUUUUCCCGGCUCUCCACAGGCUACUCUCCCAGAAGCUUCUGAUGCUUUUUUUUUUUUUUCUUCUUCUUCUUUUUCACACUUCCUCUAUGGCAGGUAAACCCCCCCCCCAAACCAGGGAGUUACUUUGAGCAAAUAUUUCCCUGUGGACCCUGUCUCCCAGGAUGGCGGUGGGAGCAGAGCCGGAGCAAUGUUUCCUUUCAUGGGCUCUGUUUGAAGAUGUCUGUGGUUGGCAGAGCCAGAGCCGUAAGGACCAGGGGUGUCUGGCCGAGAGCCGUGACCGCUUCGACGGGGACCACCAGGGCGCACGCAGCCGCUGGGUGCCUGUGGGCGCCGGGGUAUUUCCUCUGCGCUCCUCACAGUCGCUUCUGAGCCUGGCCGGGCGGGGAGCCAUGGGGGAGAACCCAUGCAGUGGGCUCGGGAGGCAGGAGCUGCUUCACGCUAUUUCCCGAGGGUUAAAAAAAUAGUAAUGAUAUAAAGGAACAUCUUUGGGAUUCAAGUGGCAUUUAAACCUGCUCCUGGACCACCGUGUGCCUCUGGAUCUCUUGGCCCCAAGGGGAGCUGGUCCCACUGGAGGUGUGUGGGCUCCUGCGGUACUGGCCCUUAGCACGCGCCUUCUGCCGCAGGAUUGCAUAAAUCCAGGCAGAAAAUGCACUUAAAGUCGGAGCUUGAGGAAUGGCAGUGAGUGCAUGUUUUUGUUUAUGUGGCUAAUGCCACCCGGUGUGGGUGAAACCAGUUUUCUGUGGCACAGAGACCCUUGUGUGCCUAGCAUCAGGCGUGGGUCCUCAUGGGUUGCUUUAAAUCUUAGACGCUUGGAAGAGUGGACGCUGUCAGCUCACAGCCGUGCAUUCAUUGAUGUAAAGCCUUUACUUUUGUGUCUUAGCUUGGGCGGCUGUGAGAAAAUUGCCAUAGCCCAGGUGGGUUAAACAAUAAACAUUUAUUUCUCACGGUUCGAGAGGCUGGGAAGUCCAAGACCAGAGUGCCGGCAUGGUCAAGUUCUUGGAGAAGGCCUCUCGUCUGGGUUUACAGACAACUGCAUUCUUGCCUUGCAGGGUGCAGAGUGAGGAAUCCGGGAGAGAGGCAGAAACCAAGCCCUCUCGGGUCUCUUCUUAUAAGGCCACUUAUCCCACUGUGGGGGCUCUGCCUUCAUGACCUCAUCACCUCCCAAAGGCCCCAUCUCCAAAUGCUGUCACAUUGGGGAUUAAGGUGUUAACAUAGGAAUUUGAGGGUGGGCUGCAAACAUUCCAUCCCUUGUGCCUUUCUGUGGGAUCUUGUCCAAUCACAGGCUGCACGGGGGGGUUACGGAGCUCCGGGGAUGGCUGGGGAAGGGACUCGGGAGAGGUAACUGCCCCCUGGGACCCGAGAGCAGCAGCAGAGACUAGGCAGGUUCCUCUUGCCUCGGUUGCUGAGCAUGACGGCCCCCACCUGCAGGAUGUGCAGAGGGGCACCUGGACAUUGACACCCUGGGCUUCUGUUGUCUCCGGGCCACCAGCUGGCCACGGCUGCAGGCAGUUCAUUUGUCCCAUAAAGGUCAAAUCCGGUUGUUGGAACAGUCAGCAGCACCCUGCCUGUCACCUCACCCUUUGUCACUAAAGGAUCUGGUUCCCCAGAAAAUAGAAGCAUGGCCCCAUUGUGGCAUGGUGUCCUCCUAACGUUUCAGCCAUCUCUUCAGGCUUCCUCGUUACCAUGGUUUCUAACUAAAUGCAGGUAAAUGAUAUGCAGAUAGGAUGGGAUGGAGGUAGGGGGAGGGGAAUGAAAACAGUCUGGAAUGAAAACAACCCUACCAGGGCACAUGACCUGUUAUGGCACAUUCUGAGCUUACUUUUCCUAUCCCUCUUAACCCUUUCCCUCCCCAAAUCACAAAAACAGCAGGGAGGACCGGAAGCACCACCUUUUUAGUUUGUUCCUUUAUCCUCACCCUGACACUCUUGAGUUCACUUUUGGCAUUGAAGUUGAACAUGCACCCUCCCCCUUCCAUCUGUGGUGCCUACUCCUCCACAUUCGAGUGGCUUAUCCCACAAGUUUGUACUUAAAGUGUGCUUGUGUGCUGUCUUGCUUUUAUAUACACACAUGUGUACACACACAUUUUUUAGCUUUUAAUUUGAAAUCAUUUCAAACAUUGUAAAAACAACACAAAGAACACUCACAGCCCCUUUACCCAGAUUCACCUGUUCUUAACAUUUGACUCCAUCAGCUUUAAUGGACUCUAUUUCUCUUUGUAAUUUUUUUUCUAAUCUGUUUGAGGUUAAGUUCAUACAUCAUGGGACUUCUAAAUACGCCAGUGUAUAUUUCCUAAGAAGGGGGAUAUCCUCCUAUGUAACCGCAGUUCACUUAUCACCUUCAUAAAUUUACAUUGAUACGAUUCUUUAGCUAAUCUCAUCCAUGUUCCAGUUUUGUCAGUUGAUAGAAUAAUGUCCUUUGCAACAUUGUUUCCUUCCAGUAAAGAAUCCAGUCUAGAGUCAGCGAUUGCAUUGAGCUGUCAUAUCUCUUUAGCCUCUUUUAAUUGGGAAUAUGUCCAUAGCCUUUCUUUGCUUUUUAUAAUAUGGACAUUUUUGAGGAAUACAGUCCCCUUUCCUCCUUUUUUUUAAAAAAAAAAUGGAAAAUUCAUCAUUUUGCAUUUGAACUCUUCCUGUGAUUAGACUGAGGUGAUGCGUUCUUGGCUAGAAUCCUGCAUAGGCGCGAUGUGGUGUCUUUCUCAGCAUGUCACUUCGGGAGGUACCCCAUGUCCACCUGUCCCCAGUGGGUCAUGCUCAUUUUGAUCAUCUGUGUAGAGUGUUGUCUGAUUUCUCCACUGUACAAUGAAUGUGUUUUUUCUCUCUUGCAACUAAUAAGCAAUCUGUGGGGAGACACUUUAAGUUCAGGCGAAGAUCCUCAUCAACACUUUCCUCUUGGAUUUAGCAUCCAGUGAUGAUUCCUGCUUGACGGAUCAAGCAGGCUGUCCUUCACCAGGAUGGUUGCCAAUGACUCCCCAACUGCUGUGCUCCCUCAACACUUAACUGUUCGGCACUUGGCAUUCUAUGGUCAGCAACAGACCCUCCUUCUCCCCUAUUUAUUUAUACCUUCAUCUGUUCAUUAUUGGUGUAGACUCAUGAAUUCCUAGUCAUUCAGUGGUUUAUGUGUCACUACUUUGCUGAACUGUUUUGGUGUUCAGAUGGUCCCAGAUUUGGCCAGGUGAAGCCCCUCCAAACUGGUUGCUGUGCUCUUACACAGUCACACACAUUUACUCCGGUAUAAGUCCCUAGACAAGAACACAUUACUAUUGUGACUUGCACAUGACGGUAACUCCAAUGUAUGUGUGUGGUGGGGGAGAGAGAUGUUUCUCGGAUGCUCUCUUGGGUCCCUUCACGCUGCCGCUAAGGAACAUCUGGAAUGCCAGGAUCUAAAGUCCAGAUUGCUUUAUGGUUAGGAACUUCGAAAUGUCACAGCGCUAAGAGUUCUACUGGUUGGCACCAGAAAAAUCUAAACGUGCCAAUCACUGAUGUUAAAGUCUCCUUUAUCUGCGAACCUCUUUUUACCAAGCCAUGCUGCAGAUUAAUAGCCAUCUUGGGCAUUCACAUGAGAGAGGUCAAGAAUGAAUCCUCACGUGGAGAUGAUUUUUUUAAAAGGGUCAGGAAGGUAAUCCAAUGAAUACAUAAGGGCCAGUGCUUUGGCGUGGUGUGCACUGUGGAACCCUGGUGGGCACCUGCCUGGCUUACAGAGGCAGCCGCUUCUCAGCUCUAGCUGUUUGUGGCUGUGUAGGAAUACAGGUGCAGGGUUGCCAGAUUUUCUCAUUUUGUAAGAUCAUCCAGAAAUCCAGAAUUUUAUGUAAAAAUCUUAAUAUCUUCCAGUCUUUACAUUUCAUCACCUAAUUCCAAAAAUAUUAAAGCACACUAUAGGUCUACAAGCAGAGCCGGCUAGCUGCAAUGCCUUGUGGCCCCAUGUUAUAGCCAAGGACAAAGCCAGGGCAUUCAAAACUGACCUUCCAUGAGUCUUUCUGAGGUUUUAAUUCGAUGAUUCUGUAAUUUCUUAUCCAGAGGUAAAAAGCUUUAACAUUCCCCCUAAAGGUCCAUUAAAAACAUAAAACAAAAUGAGAUAUAAAAUGCAUGCAUGUAAAACCCGAACUAUCUUCUGUUCAUGUUAAGUCCCAAGCGUAUGGCUAAAAACCUCCACAAAGCUACAAUUCCUAGCGGUUUACCUGAUGUAGUUUUCAUACAUAUGUGGCUACAUUAUGCAGUGUUUGGGGGUGGAUUAUUAGCCUCUUCUCCAGGAUCGAAGAAAGAUGGAUUGUAAGGACCACUGUCCCCUUGUUAGCACACAUGCCUGGCCUGACAUUUAUUUCCCCACUUGGUAAGAAGCCAUUUCCAGAGGGAACAUCUUCAGUAUCGUGCAAUUGGUUAAGGCUUCACAGAUAUUUCCACUGAAUUGUUACCACCAAAACCUUUACUUUAUGAAUUUUUGUUUUAUUACUUUGCUAAAGCAAAUACACUCCCAAGAAGACAUGCAGUAUUCCACUUCAGUCACAUACUAUGUUAGAGCUCUCUCUCUCUCUCUUUUUCUUUUUUUCUUCUCCUAAAGAAAAAUCAUAAAUGCCGACUUAUAACCCAGCACAUUUUUUUCCAGUAUGUGAUGUUUUCUGUCCUACUUCUCACUACGAAUGGGUAAGCUGGACUUUUGAUUUGAAAGGGGCUCAAGACCCACAAGUUUUUUGACCUAUAAAAUCAAAUAGAACCUUCAUGUUUGAAGUAGACCUGUCCAGUUCCACUGGACACUUUGCUUUAUUUUCUGAACAUCUCCCUAUUUCCUUUUUCUGUAUAAACGGUAUCAGAAAAGUGGAUUUGGUGAUAGGACUGACUUUGGCAAAGCCUUCUGAUCUGGGGACUUUCCUCCAUUAGGCUUAGAUCCUAGCCAGAGAUGCUGAAGGGUACUUACUCCAUGACUCACCUGGCCAGAGAGGGAUUCGAUUAGGAAUAGUACUCUGGGGGUGGGGGGGGGUUGUCCAAAUCUGUACUCCUGACCCUAAAUUUUCCAGGGGACUUUGACAUCUCUUUCCUGUGGCAAAGAGCAUCCCUACCUUUAGGAAAACGCAUCUCCUUGUUGCAAAGGGCAAACGAGUCUCUCCCAGUCCUGGUUUCUGCAGACUCAGCCCCCACAGGGGCACAGACCUGAAACGCAGUUGCUCACGCCCUGUGUUUACUUUUAUUCCCAGCCACAUAUGGAGGCCAAAAUUCAUAAGUUUAUUGCCAAGCCUUACAACAGUUUACUGAGUUUGUACGUUAAGGGAAGGGCGAAAAAAAAUGGCUCUCCUGACUUGUCGAGUGUAAAAUGGAUGGAGAAAACCGAUGGGCAGACCAUAAACCCCAACCGUGUUUAUUAACAUCUGCGGCCUGCAGACGGGGGAGGCGUGAGCGGGCCGUGUUUGUCUUGGAGGUCUGGCCGGGAGAGCUCCGUGGUGUACCCUCCGUAUAUAUACAGCGAGGCAUCUUUUUAACCCGCCAGAGACCGGGGGGAGGGAAACAAGGGCUGCUCAGAGGCGGAGGACCACAGGUCCAAGAGGGGCAGCGCGGGGCCGGGCACCGGCCGUGUUUACAGUCAGGGCAGUGCAGUGGGUGGGCCAAUCCUUGUGACGUAUUUGAGGCUUAAGAAACGAUCAUAAAUCUGAUGUCUGUCAAACAGGGUUGGCAUUUUCUUUUCACAACCAGGUUUUGUGUGACCAAAAAAAAAAAAAAUUUUUUUUUUUUUUUUUUUUAAAAAACAAGAAAUCCUCUAAACUUCUGGGACAAGGGUCCAGCUAUCUGGCAUCCACUGUCGGGCAGAAGCCCCCAAGAGCACACUGAGUGUGUCGCUGAAGACUGUCGCCUCCUUUCUCUGCUGGAGGAGGCUGUUCACACUCUUAUUUUUGCAUUUUUGCAGAGACGUUGGGGCGGGACGGCCGUGCCACAUGGACCGAGACCUGAAGCUCUGUGUUUCAGCAAUGCGGUUUCUGCCAGGGAUUUGCCCAGUUUGCUUUGGGCCCGAUGGGAGCACCCCGAACAGGCCAAGAGCUCCUUUAGGCCGCGGCUCCCGGUGCCAUAAAUAAAGCGGGAACGGAGGAGCAGUGUGGUGGGGCCCAGGGACGGGGGCAAGGACGUGCUGUUUGUGGCGGCCAGCCGCCGGCCACACGCCCUCGGCCUGGGGAGAAAUGUGCUGGGGAUGUCCUUUUAGCAGACAGUUUGGCUCUGCGGCACCUCACGUCUGAGGUGAGUCCGCCAAAGAAAAGGGCGCUUUUUGUGGUCAGAGCCUGGGGCUUGGAUGGAACCCGGGGACGGAGGGAGUGCGAGCCCGGGGAAGGCGUGGCCCACCGAGGAGGAAAAAAGCCCCCCUGUCUGUGUGGGGCGCGGCUGCCAGGUCUCUCCGCGCAGGGAACAGUGGGCCACUGUUGCAGAGCUUGGCCUGCCCUGGCAUCCAGGUGUGCCCUGCCUGGCCGCUCAGGUGUGUCACCUUAUGAAAAGAAGCAUGAGGCCCCAUCGUCCACUCGCCACCCACCUCUGCCCAGGGUCCUCCAUGUCCUCGGGAGACACCCACUUCGGGAUGAGCCAGCGCCCAUCCCGCGGGACUCGGGUGGGGCGGGGGGUCCCUUCCCCUCCUCACUGCGCCAGACUGUUCUCCCCCGUGGGCAGCGUCCCAGGCCAGCUCCGCACCAUGGGAUCUGCAGAGCUCACUCACUGCUUUUCAGGGCUUUUUUCCUGGCCCCAGGCCACACUUGCCUGCUUGGGUAUCUGGGCAGGAUCCUUCAAGGGUGUGAAACCAACGGGGCCAGAGAGGGAUGCUGGGGCUCACCCCAGCCAGCGGGGUGGGAUUUCCCUGUGGGCUGGAGCGGGGAGGGAAGGGCAUAGACAUGCUCCCAGCAGGGACCCCUGGAAGAAACCCAGCCGCUGAGAUGCCAGUACUUUUCCAUCGGUGGGUGGGGCAGGGAGGAGGAGGACUUUGAGCCCCGGUGACCUGGCAGCCUAGGGAUUUUCCGGGCUUGCCUGGGGGAGGUUAUCCCAGCUAGGGACUGGGAAUCAGGGAGCCUUCAUUUUACUUUUUAAAAUUUUAACCCAGCUUCACACUAACAUUGGUAAGGUGUUGAGUGGACGUGCCGGGCUCUCAUCAGUGUCUUCCCACUGGGCCACGAGGGGCGAAGGUGCCCCGGCAAGAUGAGUUACCCAGUGAAGGCAACACGCCGCCAUUCUGCUUCGUUCACUCAGAACGUGUUGUAGCUGCUAGAACAAGGACCGCUCUCCUGGGCCGUCUGUGUUUCCUACUUUACUUCAAGGUCAUGUCUGCAGUUUGUAAAAAAUGCAUGUUCCUUAGCCUUGUACCUUCAUGCAUCUUGUGUUCUCCCAGUUCCAUUUUUUUUUAACUUGUUCAGAAUUUCCGCUUUGUGCAGCGUGGCCUUGGAGCUGGGGUCCGCCCCAGCUAUGCCUGGGGUGCAGCCAGCAGGCCGCUCCCUGGGCCGGUUCACACAGCUCACUUUGUCUCAUCCUUCGGGUCGCAGCUUGGCAUCGUUUCCUCCCAGGGGCCUUUGCCAUCGCUGUAACGCUCUUCCUGCCCUCGUAGCAUUCUUCUUUGCAGAAACGUCACCAUGUAUAAUUGAGUGUUUGUGCUUACUUGCGUAUGCCCUGUGUCUCUGCCUGGAACACACGCCUCACAGGCAGAGGUUUGUGAUGUCGCCUUUAUCCCUGCUCCCGGGAUCUUGCAGCCGGCACACGGUGGAUGCCCCAUCGGUAUUUGAGCCUUUCCGGUGAAAGCAGAGGUCCCUGGCUGACUCAGUGGGUGCUUUGAACCAAGAAGGAAGCAGGAGGAAAAGGUGAAUUGGGCGUGGCAACCCCAGCACAGCUGCGUGCCGGCUUGGGGGUUUUGUUCCUUCUUCAGCGCACCCCCUCACCGGGACAUCCCUUACGCCUCUGCACGCCAACCGGAGUGGCAGCCGGCAGGCAGGAGCCUUGCGAUUAGCCAUCAGAGAAGGCCCAGAGACACAGGUACAAACAGCGGUCACGAUUAAUUCAGGGCAGGCUGUGUGUGCCUGGCUUUUACUUGGACUCACUCAUUUGCACCUAUGGCAACUCCGGCAGGUAGGCCCUGUUACACCCAGCCUACAGAUGGGGAGACUGAGGUACAGUCACUUGGCCAAGGCGGCAUGUUUUUAGUUACUGAGGGAGCUGGGGUUCAAAGCCAGGCCUGUGUCAUCACUGUGGCUUAUUGCCGUGUCGGGUGACAGUGAAUGGUCCCAGCUCCCUGGCGCACCAUGCCUCAGCUCCUGCUACCUGCCUUUUCCACCUGAGCCCACUGCAGGGCACAAAGGUCUUGCAGCGUGCAGGAGGAACCGGCAGGCAGGUGAGUCAGGGCCUGGGGGUCCAGGAGACAGGGGAGCAGGUGGAUUGCACCUGCUGGCCCUCCAGAGUGCAGAGACGUCCGUGGGAUAGCAGAGCUUCCUGGCGUGCUGCCAACUGAAGUCUGCUCCCAAUACAGCAGGCUGCGGAGCAAGGGGCCACCCUCCCACCGCGAGGGCUGGAUUGCCCGGGCCGUCUGGGGGCAGCACCCCACAGGCAGCUGCAGUGCUGACUCCAAGGCUUGGACGUAGGUACUAAGCUGGAAGCCCAGACGUGGGCAUGUUUGGUUGGAGGCAACAGAUCCUCUCUGUUUCCCUGCAGAGCCUGGCAGGGGGAGUGCUGUGCAAUGCAAACAAGGUUUUUAUAACCCGACAGAUUGUGUUACAGAUGUGUCUGUCCAUAGAUGUGGUGCAGCAGCAAAGCAUGUCCACUGGAGGGCCUGGGUUCGAAUCCAACUUCCACUGCUUCUUUGGUAUGUGACUAAGGGCCGGUGACCUUCACUUUUCCAGACUUUGUUUUCCCCAUCUGUAAAACGUGGAUAAUAAAGAUAUCUUCCAUGUUGUGACGUGAAAUGAGAGAAUACGCAGUUAAGUGCCCAGCACAGUGCCUGGGACAUACUAAGCAUGCAAUAAAUGUCAGAGGGUGUUUUCUUCUGUGUUUUAAAAAUCUUAGUAGGUGGGAAUAUGAUCUUGGGUAAAUUAUUAAGCCUCAAUUUCUUCAUCCGUAAGACGGUGAUGCUAAUACCCAGUCUCCUCAGGGGAGAGACGGAGUGUUACAUGAAAUAACACAAAUCAGGAGUCCAGAUCGUAAGAGAUGCCGUAUCCCUUAGUUCCCUUCCCUCACCCCACACAAGUGGAGGGGAAGGAAGGCGGCCGGGGGUUUUACCAUCCACUAGAAUACUGGGUCCUGACAGUUAUCGCAAAGCAACCGUCCAUCUCACCCUCCUCUUCCUCCUCCUCCUCCUCUGGGCUGCUCCCCCCAUCUUGGCUCUGGCACAGGUCGGGGCAGGAUACCCAUAAGGGGCUCCAGUCUUUGCACGUUCUUUCCUUCCACCCCAAGGUCAUCCCGUUUGUGUCUUCCCUAAGCCUCUUUCUUAAGCCCAGUCUUGGACGUGCCACUUUCUGAUCUAAUGAAACCGGUCGUGGCCCUCUGUUCAUCGCCCCAGCACCCAAAUCCCACCGGCACCCGAUCUCAUUCCUGUCACUUCCCACUCUCAGCCAUGCUCACCGGCGUGUAUCCCACCCCGAGACUGGAUUUCUCCUGCACCCAGCCCCUGUGCUCGGCACACCCCUCCGUAUGUCACCAUCUGUGCCUGUCACCUUCUUAAAACCCCCAACGGUGGGCCCUGGGGCUGGCUGCUCCUCCCCUUGGCCCACUGUCUCCCCUGCAGGGCUUCACCCGCAGUUGGCACCUUGAGAGUAGGGUGGGGGGCCCUGGGGGCUCAUUUCUGUCACUCAGGGGUCUUUUUUCACUUCCCAGCCCCGCCCCCCUCCCCCACUCAUCCCAGCACCCUAGCAACCCAGACUGGGCGCCCUGACCAUGGUGUGCACCUGCUGGUUGGGGAGCCCGGGUGGGAGCCGGGCCCGGAAGGAGAGUCCACCGCCGGAGUCGUUCUCCAGCGCCGCCCGAGCCCGGGUGUGUGUGGGUAGGGGGUGGUUAAUGAGUGACACCAAGGGGAUUUCCAGGCCCGCUGUGGGCACUGCCUUUCUGGAAACGGCACCUUCUGCCUCCGCCAGCCCUCCCCCUCCCUCCCAGGGAGACCCCACCCGAGUGCCUGCUCAUUCCAUGGGGUGCACAGGCCUCCCCCCACCUGGAUGGCAGUGAUCCCUUCCUUCAUUUGUUUGUUCUUUCAGUCAUUCAUUCACUCGUGUAACAGGUAUCUAUUAGGCACCUACUGUUUGCUGGGACUGCUCUGGGCAGAGCCCAGGAGCUGAGCAAGACAGGCCGAAGGAAGCUGCUUUCUCGGAGCUUGCUUUCUCCGGGGGAGCCGGGCAGACGACAAAGAGGGAAGGACGGUAAAUAAUUGUCUAGUAUGUAAGGAGGUGAGAGUGUGGUGGGAGAAGACAAAGCAGAGGCAGGAAAAGCAGCUCCGGUGUGUGGGCCCGAGAGGGUGGAGGGCAGGUCACAGUGUGGACUAGACAAGGUGACACUGGAGCACAGGCUUGAGGAGGGGAGGGUGGCGGCUGAGCGGCGCUUCGGGGAAGAUCCCGUGGGACGGAGGGCGCGUUGAGGCCAGGCGCCGAGCGGGAGCCGGUGCGUGGUGUGUCUGAGAACAAGGGCGGGCGUGGCUGGGGCACAGCGGGGAGCUUAGCACUAGGGGGGUGACCAGAGUGACCCGCACACCAGGCAGAGCCUGGAGGCCUUGGGCCUUCCUUCCGGGGAGCUGGGAGCCACGGCAGGGCUUUGGGCAAAGUGUGCUGUGAUCCGACUCGCCGUUAGAAAGGCCCCUUUGCAGGGGCCGGGGUGGAGCAGAGUGGCCUGUGGGCAGAGGACGUCGAGUGUGCCUGUCUCCCUUCCUCCCGGUCACACACACGUGGCCACAGAACGGCAGCGUGUAUGGUGGCAAUGAGCUGAAGAGCCACGAUACCGGAUCUCAGGGACUGAAUCCCAGCUGCUGAGGCUGCCAGACCUGCGAUAGCCUCUUGCGCUGGGGUUGUGACUUGGUACGAGGGUCCCUGUCCUCUCCCUGCUGCUUGGGGCCACCGGGGCUCACACCGGCAGAUUGCAGGCCCAGCAGCAAAAGACGGAAAUGAAAGGAAAAAUGAAGGGAGUGGGGAAAACGGAUAGGAUAGGAGGGGAGGACCAAAUGUGCCCGUUCUCCCGUCGCAGUGGCGUUAGGGCAGUGAGGGUGCAGUUUUUCUCAAGGGACACCCGAUGGUGACAUUAUCACGCCAGGGAGCAGCUAGCAUUGCCGGAGCGCAUCCGCCCUGGUCUCCCCAAAGCUCUCGGGGAGCUCCCUCUCAUCCUCCUCCUCCCUCCACGAAGGUACUGCUGGGCAGCUGCAGGAGCCAAUGGGUCGGCCCUCGCUCCUCUUUUGUUUCUGUCGUCCUGCAGCUGUAGGCGUCAUCGAGGCGUGGCAGGCCACCCUCAGAGCUCGUAUCUGCAGCGUGUGUUUCCUAGAAUGCUUCCGGGAGGACCUGGUCUUAGCGGUUGUUAGCGAACGUCCUGUGGUUGCACGUGGUCUGGAAACAGCCCGAGAGGGAAUGAACGCCGCGUGCCCUUCUUUGGGGGACUUCUCCGUCACUCCUGCGUGUGGCAGACAGCUGGCCGAGGGCCGUGGCCAGGACCCCCUUCUUCGUGACAAAGCCUAGAAACGGGCGCGUGCUCUGUUGGAAACACGUGGAGAAAGGAGAGGGCCGUGGGAGUGGGGCAGUUGGUACCUGUGUGUUUCUCCCAGGGUCGGAUGUGUUUCCGAGUGACCCCCUCCACCCAAGCUCCUGGGCAACAGCUCUGCUGCUGGGGACACUGUCCCGUUUAGUCCCUCGAGUUCUUCCGCUUCCAGACCAAUGGCCCAGGGAGAUGGAGCGAGAUGGCAGCCUUCAUGGCCGGGUCCCUGGGGCGGGAGUCAUGAACCGUAAUAUCACAGCCCUGCUGCCUUGCGUUGCUGUUGCAUACUUUUUGCAGAGAACUGUCGUGUCCACUACCUUACAGCCCCAAGGCUCCCGUGUGAGGUCACGGGAAGGAACGACUAUUUUUAGAGAUGAAUAAUCUGACCCCCAGGGAGGACACGCUCUCCCCCGGAUCUGUGGCGUGUGUGCGGUAGGCAGGGGAGAGGUGCCAUGGCUCGGAGCAUGAGUUCUGCCGCGACCGUAAUUGAGAGUGAAACCCGGGGCUCUGGGAGAGAGAGGCCAGUCCCCGUGCUGAGUGCCGGCGGGCGGGCGGCGGGAUGAGCUCACCGGGACCAGAGGCUUCCAGAGCACUGGCAGACGGAACUUCCCCUCGGGCUCCAACUGUGAGUCACCGUGGUGGUGCGUGUCCCUGCUGCGGGCCCCGUCCCCAGGCCUCCCACUUCACCCCGGGACAUCGUGGUCACCGCUCAGGCCUGGUGACUCACUUGGCCUCUUGAGCCAGCUCUGGGGGGUGGAGUCUGGCUCCUCCUGGCAUCUGGACCCUGGGUGCGAUCUGCGCAGCGGGGCUGGCUGCUCUCUGCGGGGCUGGGUGCGAGACGUGUGUCCCGGGAAAGCCCCCCGCCCUCUGCAGGGGUCAAGGAAAAGCCACCGGCUGCCGCAGCAAACGGGUUUCAAACGCAGCUCGGAAAGUCCGAAGGGCUCUGUGGAGGCUGGGAAGGGCCGACCGAGGGCUGCUCCUCCGUCCUCGUCCACAUCCCCCCGCUGGAAGCUUAGUGGAACCACAUGUGCCACCGGGACCCCCUCGAAGGACCUGGCUAAGGCUGGACCCCCUCUGGAGAGGCAGGAGCUCUGGAUUUGAUCAAGAAUUCUUAUUUUGGAGAAUAAGGAAACUUAUGGAUCUGGGUAGAAAGCAAUGACCCUUGGGGAGAGGCAUCACUGAAGCCUUCUGCAGGUGGUCCAGAGCUGUCACCGUGUCACCUGACCUGGGCUUGGAACCUGAGUUAGGAGUUGGCCAGAGAAGCCAGUCCCUGUCCGCUUUGGGAGUCAUGUCCUCUGAGGGCUGAAGGGGUGAUGCUUAUUCCAGAGGGUGUGAGAACCUCAUCCACAGAACCUGCCCGGCAGCAGAAUGAUUCUGGAUGUGCGUGGUAAUGAGCAAAUGCACAGAACCACGCGUGUGCCCUGCCUGGAUCCAGGAAGGCACUGCUGGCUCUGCACCUGGUAAGGAUGAACCUUGGGCAGACUUUUCCAGCAUCGAGGGGGAAUGUCUAAGGGUCCACCCCAAGCCUGGAGCUCACCCCCCCUCAAGGGCAACAGGAAACUCCAACUUAAUAAAAACUGUGACCCAACAGUAGUAAUUCAGUGACAGAGAUUGUGGUGCUUGUUCUCAGACCUCAGUCUCAGGAACACUGGGGUUCAGGGGGGUUGAUUGGACCCCCCAAGCUCACUCAGCAGGUUAACAGUGAGCUUUGACUGCAGCGGGGCUUGGGGUCCCCGUCUGGAAUGGAAUCCCUUGGUUGCCUCCAAAGCCAGAUGCAGGGAGAGGAGGCCAGAGAAGGCACCGGACGCCUGGGAGGGAGGGGGCGGGGGCAGGAUCCAGCCAGGCAAAGUGCUGGAGAAGCAAAAUCCACUUGUGCUGCUUUGUGCCUGCGUCAGGGCUGGCUACUCCCGGGGCCACAGCGCUUUGAGUGAGAGGCACGGGGAAUGGACUGGCCUCCGUGUGGGACGCCCGGCUCUCCAGGGAGGGGAGGGCUUCAUCCGGGCUGCGGCCCCCUGCUCAGUUCCGCUCUAUUUAGAACACUUUUUUUUUUUUUUUUGUGGAAAGCAGAUUGCUAGGGAGGAAAGCUCCAGGCUGGCUGGGGAAGCUGAUUGGGCUGCAGCUUUCUGAACUGGGGCUUGGGGAGAGGGGAGGACAAAGGGCUUAGAUGAGGAUGGGCAGGUCUAAUAGCCUUCUCCCCACCUCUCCCUGUCUCUCUCUUGCAUGGAACCCUCCCAAACCCUGCAGCCCAGCCCAGCAGCUCAUCUUUGGGCAGAACUUAAAGGAGAUGGAAACGUAGAAGCAUCUGAGACUAUUUUUUACUGGUUCAAGGUGAGACAAGCAAAUGAGAUUUUGAAUUCUGUGAAUCCACGCAACAAAAAGCGCCAGAGCCGUGAACACCCGUCCUCGCCCCGCGUAGCGUGUGCUGUUUAUGGGACUCAGGACACCGGAGGCCACGCUGCCCAGGUGCGCGAAGGCAUGUGAUGAGAUUCUCUUCUGGAAACGUGGGCAGCCGGGAUCAAAGGUGAUUCCCGAACAUCGCGGUGGUGUCUGUCAGCGAAGACAGCAGGUGCAGCGGCUGGUGCUUUGCUUACAGGACUUGGAUAAAAUUCGCCCUCCUCCACCAGAGGGAUGGCUUAGUUAAAUACAGACUAGGACACUGCAUGCAUACUUGGUAGGCCAGGAGAGCUGUGGGUGGCCAAAGGGUUUCUGCAGACAGCACCUAAAACCCUUUCCCUCUCUGUAGCCUUUGUCUUGCAGGAGAAGCUCAGUGUCUGAGAAGUGGUUCCCACCGGCCUAUCUUGGGCUUACUUGGGAGCCCAGCGGGACAGGGGUUGGGGGCUGGUUGUUUUCCAGACCCCCGUUGGCAUCCCGGAUGUCUCUUCUUCACAGAGCUCCUCCUUAAAAUGGACCAGAGUCAUUGACCCGCCUGGCCGAGGCGACUUUGAAACCAGUGGCAACUGUUUCUGCAGAGCUCUGGAAGCAGCCAGAGAACUGUGUACCGGCCUUACGUUUAUGGACUUCCUAAUGGACAAGAUCCUGGCCAGGUUGGUCCAGGUGCCAGUAGAUGGCUUCUUGCUGAGGUCUUGGUCACAAAGAGCCGUUGGUGACCUGCGAGUGCCCUAAUGUGUGAGUUGCUCCACUCCUUUCCAGCCGCCCAGCAGCCUGGAACUUCUGAGCCUCUGCAGAGCCCACAGGGCUUUGGCAACUAUCCAAGUAUCUUGGGGAGGAGCAGAAGAACACAGGCUGCGUUGGUCCUAACUGCAGCCCCGCCUCUGGGAUUCUAGAAGAUUCCUAAAAAGCCGGGUGCGAUAGUCGAACAGUAAGCCUCCUUCCCAAUAGGUCUUGAAUUGUUGAUCGGAACAGAUGGUGAUGGUCCUGCCUGGUGGCCUAGGGCCAGCCUCCUUUCUGAGUUAAACUAGCCAGAAAAAUCUCUCUCAUUAGUUUUGACUUCACAUCAGCCCCGACGCACAGGGCUGGGAGUUUUGUACCAGGCAGGUAACUGUCAAAAGAACACUCAAGAUGGAAGGUAAGGCAGAGGUGUGAGUGAAACCGCUGCUGUCUGUUCGAUGGUGUGCUCAAACCCAGACGCCAGCAGCGAGACUGCACCUCGGCCCUCAGACCCCUCCAAAGGUUAUGGACUGCAGAAUUGGAAACUGUGGAGGAAGACCUACCACUCGUCUCCACAGAUGGAAUGCUGGAAGACUGUAGACUUUUUUGCCUGCAGGUAUUUUUUGGAGGGAAAACACCAGGGAACAUUUUGGAGACAUGGCCCAGUACACUUAAUGACAUCGUUAAAUAAAUACUAUAGAGAUCCAAUGCAGACAGUGGUGUGUGACCAUUCUCUGAGGUCUCACCAAGGGAAAAAGAAGAUGAGAUUAAUGAGCAGCGUGGAAGAAGUCAAACACCAGAAAUCAUCUAAUACUAGAAGUUAUAGCACUGAGAGGCCGUAGCACCACAUUUUUAAGAAUCUGAGGGGAAAGAAUGCUUUUUUUUUUUUUAACCAAGGCCUAAAUACUGUCCCCAUGGGACAGAGAGAUUGUGGGUAGAUUAAUAACUCCUAAAUGCCCAAGGUAGGAUGCUGGGUUUGCAGCCCAGGCAUCAAUGAGAGACCUUGUUAAAAAUUAAUGUGCAUACUGAAGUGUUUAGGGAUGGAGUGUCCCGAUGGCUGCAAUUUACGUUGACACGCAUUGAAAAACCGAGUUGGAUUGAUGGAUAGAUAAAUGGAGGAUAAAGGCAUAGACCCGUGAUGAAGCCAGUGUAGCAAAAUCGUGACAGUCACAGAAUCUGGGCGGUACGUGUGUGGGUACAACAUUUCUACAUGUCUGAAAUUUUUCAAAGAAAAUGUUGGAGGGAAAGUGCCAAUGCCUGGGCCACCCAUGAUGAUGGUGAUUCAGUGAUUUGGUGAUAAGAGUCUAGAGAAUUUUGAAGCUCUGCCGGUGAUACUGACAGUCAGCCAAGUGUGGGUCCCCGUGGGACAGCCGUGUCCCUCCCGCUCGGACACGCAGGCUCAGGCUGAGCAGGGCUGGGCUGGGGCCUGACAUCUGCCUGCCUCCCUCGCUGCCAAGUGAUGCCGAUGCUGCUGGUCCGGGGACCACACCCUGAGCAGCGCGGACCACGAAGACUGUUCUUUCCAUCCUCGAAACCUAGCACGUUCCAGCUUGGGCUUCACCUUGGAAUCAUCCGGGGAGCUUUGAAAUGUACGAGUGCCGGGAGGUAUCUCCCGCUCCUGGAGCUUCUGGUUUAAUUGGUCCGGGCUGCAGCCGGCCUGGGCAGCGAGAUUUAAAAGCUGCUCAGAUGAUUCUAAUGUGCAACCACUGAUUUAGCAUCAUGAAGGGAAUCCGUGGACUAUUAAGUGACUUUCUGCACAGAAAACACUGCCUGGGCCUCAUCAUCCAGGUGAGCAGGGGGCUUUUCCAGUAACAAUAGUUCUUCUAAUAACAAUGAGAGGCUCAAAGUUACCUCCCCUGGACUCUACUUAAGUCUCCUCAUAAUGAGAAUGAUUAACAGCCAGCGUUUAUUGAGUGUCAGGCACUUUACCUCCAUUAGAUCAUGUAAUCAUCACAGUAACCUGGUGAGGCAGGCAUUAUUAUCCUGUUUUGCAGAUGAGGAAAUUGAGCCUGAUUGAGUUAAGCGACUUGCCCAGGAUGACAGCGCUAAUAAGUCCCGGACAGAGAUCUGAACUAGGUUUGCCUGACUUCAAAGCCCAUAUGCUGGAACCAUUGUAUUCUUCUAUUGCCUUCGUGAUCUAUGCCAGGGGUUGGGAAAAUACAGCCCAUAAGCCAAAUCUGGACAGCUGUCUGUUUUCAUAAAGUUUCCCUGGAACACAGCUGUGUCCAUUCAUUUACGUAUCAUCUGUGGCUACUUUCAUGCUCUGGGCAGAGCUGAGCAGUGGCGACAGAGCCUGUAUGGCCCACGGUGCCUACGAUAUUUACUGUUGCUAUCUGGCCCCUUUGCAGAAGCAGCUUGAUGGUCUUUGAUGGAUCGUCAAGGCAGCUUGCACAGAGCAAGGGCGCUAUCCUCGGCCAAGCUCAGAGCAAAAGGAAUAUCCCACGGGGGAUGAACUUGAACCGAUGGUCACUGUGGCUCCAGUUUCUGCCUGGAUAUUUUAAUUCAAUCUUGUGGCUUGCGUUUCACUCUGAGGGUUCCUUAUUUCCUCUGCACAUAUUUUAUUUUGAUGCCAAAAUUUCGGAUCUGUUUUCUUAAGAGCAGGAGGUCUCGACCCCAAGCCCCGGGUCAUCACACAGCUCUCUCUGGAGUGGGGUGAGGGAGGCCAGCUGCCGGUCACCUUCUGCUCCAACGCCGUGGGAGGCCUGCGUGGAAAAGCUCCAGCCCCACUGCUCCUGGGCGGUGUGGACGGCAAGAGGCUUCCUUCCCGUUCCACCGGCCAUCCAGGGUGAAGCCCUCGCCAGAGGUCAGGAGGGGAGAGAGGGGGAAGGAAAUGCCAGUCAAUCCAUCAGAGCCCCGCCCUCCUGCGGCUUCCAGGCCAAGAACUGAGUCCGAGCAUCCCUGACCCCCCCACACCCCCACCCCCAGGGGCGGAGGGGAGGGCAAGCUGGGGAAAUGCAUUUGGAAAUGAUUCUAGAUUUCCUGUUUGGUUUCUGCCCAGGGGGCUUUGGGAUAUGCGAACUCGCGUUUUGUGUGCACACGUGCACAUUUCACUCCUCCUUGUCCCUCUGGGUUAUUCCCCCGCCUUUGCUACGUUUCCUUCUCUGGGGCUUGUUUGUGUUUGUUGUCGCUGUUGUGAAUUGAUGUGGCAAAGUGGUGGGGCAGGUUCCCAGCCCCCUUUGGGAAAAUGCGUGGAAGAGGAGCAGGGAGCACUGGGGAGAGGUGGGGCUGCUUCGCUUGGAUUCCGGGAUUUGGCCUGUGUCUCAGGGACAUGCAUAAUGGUAGAGCUAUAAAGAACCUGCUUCUGUAAGCAAGCAUUGAUUUAGUGCUUACUGUCUGCGUGGGCUACAAAGGCACAAAAGAAAGCACAGUCUUGCCUUCUAAGAAGUGAGAGGGAAGGAAGAAAGGGCAUGGAGGAGGUUGGUAAGUUCGAUGGCACAACGAGGCUCCGGUAGAGAUGGGGGUGUACAGGGUGACCAGGAAUCCUUUGGUUCAGUGUCUCUUCCAAGCAGGACUGAGCCUUAGUCAUCCAAGAUGCUGAAGGCCCCUCUCACCAAAUAACAGUCCAAGAAAUAACAAAAUCAGGCAUCACCGCCAAAUGCCUCGCAUACCGCCCUGUAUCUAGAGCCCCAUGUCACCUGGCGGGUCUGGACUACCCCGGGCAGCAUCCUUUGCUCCCUCCUUCCAAGUCUUAGCCUCGAGGGGGCUGGCCCGCUGGAAUCCGAGGUGUAGGACCGUGUUAGAGGGAAGCUGGAAUUCCAGGGCGGAGGAGCCUGCACUCCUGGAGCUCCAGGCCAUCUGGCCUCUUCUGUUAGAUAAGGACUUUGAUCCUUCCAAUGGGCGAGAAGAGAGAGCUCUCCCUUUUCAGCACCUUCAAAUAUCCUCCCCCCUGGCUGUGCCUGGCCCCUCUGUCACCUCGCCUUGAGGAGACAGGAUGUUUUUCCCAGCUGGCCCCUUUCUCUUCCCGAUUUAGACUGGGAGUGAGUGAAGUUCAUUAAACCCCUCGUUGUGGUUGGAGCCACGUGGCUCAGGUUGCACCUGAAAGCAUCAGGUGGGGGGGGUGGAGAGGGGAGGACGGGACAGACUUGGGGUCCUCACUGCCCCCCCCUUUGCUCAGCUGGUGGCUUUGCACCUACUGAUGAGGGAGCCCAGCCUGGGGUUGGGUUGUGGUGGAGCUGGGGGUAGCAUACUACCUCCGGUUGCAACUUGGUCCGCUCUGCACGAUUCAUUCCGCUGCUUCUAAAAAUCCCUUACAAGGCAAUCACCUCUGGGUUUUCAAGCUGAAAUAAAUGGGGGUUGGGGGAGGUACAGGGAGGGGAUUGUGAUCCCCUUGUCAUCUCCCCUCCUGUGUCAUUUCACCCAUUGUUCCAAGAACUAAGUGGUUAAAAUAAAACCUUCAGCGAGA